rnacentral:tRNA from 1 species
GGGGUUAUGGCUCAGCGAUAGAGCACUCGCCUAGCAUGUGUGAGGCCCUAGGUUCAAACCUCAGCCCCA